rnacentral:rRNA from 1 species
UACGGAGGAUGCAAGCGUUAUCCGGAAUGAUUGGGCGUAAAGGGUCCGCAGGUGGCAGUGUAAGUCUGCUGUCAAAGAAUGAGGCUUAACCUCAUCAAGGCAGUGGAAACUACACAGCUAGAGUACGGUCGGGGUAGAAGGAAUUCCUGGUGUAGCGGUGAAAUGCGUAGAGAUCAGGAAGAACACCGGUGGCGAAAGCGUUCUGCUAGACCUGUACUGACACUGAGGGACGAAAGCUAGGGGAGCGAAAGGG